GAGGGAGUCCCUCCCUCUAAAAGCACUCUGUGUGGGGAACAUGAGAGCCAGACCAAAGCUCAGAGGAACCAGCCUGGACCUCCACCCAGCUCUGUGUCCUUACAGAGUGACCGGUCUACUGGUCGCUUCAUUAAUUUUAAAGUCCAGCCUGUGUCUGCUGCAGAGAGAGUGGACCAGCAGAGCUCAGAGGUUCCCAGUGCUCAGUCUGCCCAGCAGCAUCAAACACAGCUGGACUCCAUAUUUAUGGUCUGUACAUGAACAACAACUACUGUUACAUCUGUUCUGUCCACAGUCAUCUCCAUGCUGCUCUUUGUAGACCAGUGUCAGUGUGUCCA